rnacentral:rRNA from 1 species
UACGGAGGGGGCUAGCGUUGUUCUGAAUUACUGGGCGUAAAGCGCACGUAGGCGGCUUUGUAAGUUAGAGGUGAAAGCCCGGAGCUCAACUCCGGAACUGCCUUUAAGACUGCAUCGCUUGAACGUCGGAGAGGUAAGUGGAAUUCCGAGUGUAGAGGUGAAAUUCGUAGAUAUUCGGAAGAACACCAGUGGCGAAGGCGACUUACUGGACGACUGUUGACGCUGAGGUGCGAAAGCGUGGGGAGCAAACAGG